rnacentral:rRNA from 1 species
AUACGGAGGGUGCAAGCGUUACUCGGAAUUACUGGGCGUAAAGGACGCGUAGGCGGUUUAGAAAGUCAGAUGUGAAAGCCUAUGGCUUAACCAUAGAACUGCAUCUGAAACUCCUAGACUAGAGUGAGGGAGAGGUCAGUGGAAUUAGUGGUGUAGGGGUAAAAUCCGUAGAGAUCACUAGGAAUACUCAUAGCGAAGGCGACUGACUGGAACUUUACUGACGCUGAGGCGUGAAAGCGUGGGGAGCAAACAGGAUUAGAAACCCCUGUAGUCC